rnacentral:tRNA from 2 species
GUCGAGGUGGCGGAAUUGGCAGACGCGCUGGCUUCAGGAGCCAGUGUCCGCAAGGACGUAUGGGUUCAAGUCCCUUCCUCGAUACCA